rnacentral:rRNA from 1 species
GACGAACGCUGGCGGCGUGCUUAACACAUGCAAGUCGAACGGAAAGGCCCUGCUUUUGUGGGGUGCUCGAGUGGCGAACGGGUGAGUAACACGUGUGUAACCUGCCCUUGACUUUGGGAUAACUUCAGGAAACUGGGGCUAAUACCGGAUAGGAGCUCCUGCUGCAUGGUGGGGGUUGGAAAGUUUCGGCGGUUGGGGAUGGACUCGCGGCUUAUCAGCUUGUUGGUGGGGUAGUGGCUUACCAAGGCUUUGACGGGUAGCCGGCCUGAGAGGGUGGCCGGCCACAUGGGGACUGAGAUACGGCCCAGACGCCUACGGGAGGCAGCAGGGGGGAAUAUUGCACAAUGGGCGGAAGCCUGAUGCAGCAACGCCGCGUGCGGGAUGACGGCCUUCGGGUUGUAAACCGCUUUCGCCUGUGACGAAGCGUGAGUGACGGUAAUGGGUAAAGAAGCACCGGCUAACUACGUG